AUUGAACGCUGGCGGCAGGCCUAACACAUGCAAGUCGAGCGGAUGAAGGGAGCUUGCUCCUGGAUUCAGCGGCGGACGGGUGAGUAAUGCCUAGGAAUCUGCCUGGUAGUGGGGGAUAACGUCCGGAAACGGGCGCUAAUACCGCAUACGUCCUGAGGGAGAAAGUGGGGGAUCUUCGGACCUCACGCUAUCAGAUGAGCCUAGGUCGGAUUAGCUAGUUGGUGGGGUAAAGGCCUACCAAGGCGACGAUCCGUAACUGGUCUGAGAGGAUGAUCAGUCACACUGGAACGGAGACACGGUCCAGACUCCUACGGGAGGCAGCAGUGGGGAAUAUUGGACAAUGGGCGAAAGCCUGAUCCAGCCAUGCCGCGUGUGUGAAGAAGGUCUUCGGACUGUAAAGCACUUUAAGUUGGGAGGAAGGGCAGUAAGUUAAUACCUUGCUGUUUUGACGUUACCAACAGAAUAAGCACCGGCUAACUUCGUG
rnacentral:rRNA from 1 species